rnacentral:rRNA from 1 species
UACGUAGGGUGCAAGCGUUAAUCGGAAUUACUGGGCGUAAAGCGUGCGCAGGCGGUUAUGUAAGACAGGUGUGAAAUCCCCGGGCUUAACCUGGGAACUGCAUUUGUGACUGCAUAGCUAGAGUACGGUAGAGGGGGAUGGAAUUCCGCGUGUAGCAGUGAAAUGCGUAGAUAUGCGGAGGAACACCGAUGGCGAAGGCAAUCCCCUGGACCUGUACUGACGCUCAUGCACGAAAGGCGUGGGGGAGCAAACAGG